ACGCACGCUGGCGGCGUGCUUAACACAUGCAAGUCGAACGGAAAGGCCCUGCUUUUGUGGGGUGCUCGAGUGGCGAACGGGUGAGUAACACGUGAGUAACCUGCCCUUGACUUUGGGAUAACUUCAGGAAACUGGGGCUAAUACCGGAUAGGAGCUCCUGCUGCAUGGUGGGGGUUGGAAAGUUUCGGCGGCUGGAGAUGGACUCGCGGCUUAUCAGCUUGUUGGUGGGGUAGUGGCUUACCAAGGCUUUGACGGGUAGCCGGCCUGAGAGGGUGACCGGCCACAUUGGGACUGAGGUACGGCCCAGACUCCUACGGGAGGCAGCAGUGGGGAAUAUUGCACAAUGGGCGGAAGCCUGAUGCAGCAACGCCGCGUGCGGGAUGACGGCCUUCGGGUUGUAAACCGCUUUCGCCUGUGACGAAGCGUGAGUGACGGUAAUGGGUAAAGAAGCACCGGCUAACUACGUG
rnacentral:rRNA from 1 species